rnacentral:rRNA from 1 species
GACGAACGCUGGCGGCGUGCUUAACACAUGCAAGUCGAGCGGUGAACCCUUCGGGGGGAUCAGCGGCGAACGGGUGAGUAACACGUGAGCAACCUGCCCUCAGUUCUGGGAUAACUCCGGGAAACCGGGGCUAAUACCGGAUACGACCAUUCCUCGCAUGGGGUGAUGGUGGAAAGGCUUGUCUGACUGGGGAUGGGCUCGCGGCCUAUCAGCUUGUUGGUGGGGUUGUGGCCUACCAAGGCGACGACGGGUAGCCGGCCUGAGAGGGUGUCCGGCCACACUGGGACUGAGACACGGCCCAGACUCCUACGGGAGGCAGCAGUGGGGAAUCUUGCGCAAUGGGCGAAAGCCUGACGCAGCGACGCCGCGUGGGGA